rnacentral:rRNA from 1 species
UACGGAGGGUGCAAGCGUUGUUCGGAAUCAUUGGGCGUAAAGCGCGUGUAGGCGGCUUGGCAAGUCGGUUGUGAAAGCCCGGGGCCCAACCCCGGAACUGCAUCUGAAACUGCCUGGCUAGAGUCCCGGAGAGGAAGGCAGAAUUCCCGGUGUAGGGGUGAAAUCCGUAGAUAUCGGGAGGAAUACCAGCGGCGAAGGCGGCCUUCUGGACGGUGACUGACGCUGAGACGCGAAAGCUAGGGGAGCGAACGGG